rnacentral:sRNA from 1 species
GCUGGGUGCAGUGGUGCAUGCCUGUAAUCCCAGCAGCUGAGGAGGCUGAGGCAGGAGGAUUGUGAAUUCAAAGCCAGCCUCAGCAACUUAGUGAGGCCCUAAGCAACUCAGUGAGCCCCUGUCUCUG